AACGAACGCUGGCGGCAGGCCUAACACAUGCAAGUCGAGCGAGCAUUUCGGUGCUAGCGGCGGACGGGUGAGUAACGCGUAGGAACGUGCCCUUUUCUGCGGAAUAGUCCUGGGAAACUGGGGGUAAUACCGCAUACGCCCUUUUGGGGAAAGAUUUAUCGGAGAAGGAUCGGCCCGCGUUGGAUUAGGUAGUUGGUGGGGUAAUGGCCCACCAAGCCGACGAUCCAUAGCUGGUUUGAGAGGAUGAUCAGCCACACUGGGACUGAGACACGGCCCAGACUCCUACGGGAGGCAGCAGUGGGGAAUCUUAGACAAUGGGGGCAACCCUGAUCUAGCCAUGCCGCGUGAGUGAUGAAGGCCUUAGGGUUGUAAAGCUCUUUCAGCUGGGAAGAUAAUGACGGUACCAGCAGAAGAAGCCCCGGCUAACUCCGUG
rnacentral:rRNA from 1 species